rnacentral:rRNA from 1 species
AUUGAACGCUGGCGGCAGGCCUAACACAUGCAAGUCGAGCGAGCGGCGGACGGGUGAGUAAUGUCUGGGAAACUGCCUGAUGGAGGGGGAUAACUACUGGGAACGGUAGCUAAUACCGCAUACCAUCAGAUGUGCCCAGGUGGGAUUAGCUAGUGGGUGGGGUAACGGCUCACCAAGGCGACGAUCCCUAGCUGGUCUGAGAGGAUGACCAGCCACACUGGAACUGAGACACGGUCCAGACUCCUACGGGAGGCAGCAGUGGGGAAUAUUGGACAAUGGGCGAAAGCCUGAUACAGCCAUGCCGCGUGUGUGAAGAAGGUCUUCGGAUUGUAAAGCACUUUAAGCGGGGAGGCGUUACCAGCAGAAGAAGCACCGGCUAACUCCGUGCCAGCAGCCGCGGUAAUAC